rnacentral:tRNA from 1 species
GGAGGGGUGUCCGAGUGGUUUAAGGUGCCGCUCUCGAAAAGCGGUGUGGCUUAACGGCCACCGUGGGUUCGAAUCCCACCCCCUCCGCCAAUA